AGUCGAACGGCAGCAUAGAGAGCUUGCUAGAAGAUGACGAGCGGCGGACGGGUGAGUAACGCGUAGGAAUCUACCUAUUGGUGGGGGAUAGCCCAGGGAAACUUGGAUUAAUACCGCAUAAGCUCUUAGGAGGAAAGCGGGGGAUCUUCGGACCUCGUGCCAAUAGAUGAGCCUGCGUAAGACUAGCUAGAUGGUGGGGUAAUGGCCUACCAUGGCGACGAUCUUUAGCUGGUCUGAGAGGAUGAUCAGCCACACUGGGACUGAGACACGGCCCAGACUCCUACGGGAGGCAGCAGUGGGGAAUAUUGCACAAUGGGCGCAAGCCUGAUGCAGCCAUGCCGCGUGUGUGAAGAAGGCCUUAGGGUUGUAAAGCACUUUCAGUGGGGAAGAAAGGUUAUAAGUUAAUACCUUAUAGCUGUGACGUUACCCACAGAAGAAGGACCGGCUAAUUCCGUGCCAGCAGCCGCGGUAAUACGGAAGGUCCGAGCGUUAAUCGGAAUUACUGGGCGUAAAGCGCACGUAGGCGGCUAGGUCAGUUGGGUGUGAAAGCCCCGGGCUCAACCUGGGAACUGCAUCCAAUACUGCCUG
rnacentral:rRNA from 1 species